rnacentral:lncRNA from 1 species
AAGGGACACAUGUUUCAAUUUCUAAGACCCAGUGAAGUUUCUUUGGGAUUCCGGGUGGGGUGGAGGAAGCCUGUUCCAGCUGCUGCUUUCUCUGCUGUCCCUGCUGCUGCUGCUGCUGCUGCUGCUGCUGCUGCUGCUGCUGCUGCUGAUGGUGAUGGUGAUGGUGAUGCUAUGCUGAUGCUGAUGGUGAUGGAUGUGGGGUGUGGUGGGGAUGGGUGAAUAGAUGAGUGGGUGGACAAAUGAUGUGUUGAUAGAAGGAACAAAGGAGGAGGAGGAGGAGCAGAAAGAGGACGAGGAGGACGAGGAGGAGGAGGAAAAGGAGAAGGAGGAAGAGGAGGAAGAUGAGGCCUGUGGAGAAGAGAGACCAGGGUCCUAAGGCCAGUCUGUAGAGGGCCCGAGGUCUUUGGGCUUCCAGG